rnacentral:rRNA from 1 species
GGAGACUACGAGGUUGAUAGGUUGGGGGUGUAAGGGCUGUGAAGUCUUUAGCUGACCAAUACUAAUAUGACGAACACUUAACCUAAA